GCUCACCUCGCGGCUCCGCCUGCGCUUCGGCACCUGGGGCGCGCGGAGGUCCGCGCCCUGGAGAAGCUGCCGGUGCACAUGGGCCUGGUGGUCACCGAGGAGGAGCCGGAGGCCCAGCUUCUCGGACAUCGCGAGCCUCGUGGUGUGGUGUAUGGCCGUGGGGAUCUCCUACAUCAGCGUCUACGACCACCAAGGAAUUUUCAAAAGAAAUAAUUCCAGAUUGAUGGAUGAAAUUUUAAAACAGCAGCAGGAACUUCUGGGUCUGGAUUGUUCCAAAUACUCAACGGAGUUUGCAAAUAGUAAUGAAAAAGAUGAUCAAGUUUUAAAUUGCCAUUUGGUACUGAAGGUGCUGUCCCCAGAAGAUGGAAAAGCAGAUGUUGUGAGAGCUGCUCAAGACUUCUGCCAGUUUGUAGCCAAGCAGCAAAAGAGAGCCACAGAUUUGGAUGUAGAUAUGUUAGACAGUUUACUUAGUUCAAAUGGUUUCACUGAUCCUGAUUUAGUAUUGAAGUUUGGUCCUGUGGACAGCACAUUAGGUUUUCUUCCCUGGCAAAUCAGAUUGACUGAAAUUGUCUCUUUGCCUUCCCACCUAAAACAUCAGCUAUGAGGACUUUUUCUCUGCCCUUCGUCAGGAUGCAGCCUGUGAACAGCGUCUGGGAAAGUAAUGAUCCCUGGUUGUGUAAUUUGAUUUCAGGCUUUUGGAGAAAAGGACUCAAGUGACUCUGAUGUUUACAAAGCACCUAUGAAACCCUGUAUACACCUAGUUCAUAUUCCUCAUAAUUUAUCAACAAACACAAAAAAGUGUCUUACUUGAGAGUGAAUGAGUGUGUGCUUGUGUGUAUGUGUGUGUGCGAGCGUGUGGAAAUACACUUAGAAAUGGGGGGAGUGUUGGAGAAAGAAUACACAAACCUGCAACUUGAAACAAAAAUAGCAGCGAUGUUUUAGGAGCUGAGAUUUCAGAUUAAAGGCUUCAGCCCCUGCCACUUCCCUGUUUCUGUGGGGAGAGGAGGGAAUGAUUGGAGCUGUUUUAGUUGUUGUUUGGUGUUGAAGAAGGAAUACCUUUUGUCCAGUCUUUUUGUAGUGACCAAACUUUGAUUUUUAAGAAUAAUAUAUGGACUUGUUAAAUGGAAACAUUCUGAGUUUAAGGAGCUUCAGAGAAAUGAAGUUAUUCAGAGUGUCCUCAUUGUCAGGCAGAGGGAAUACCUGUCUUCAGCUGUCCGUCCAUUUCAUUUCUUAGUAAUGUUGCUCUGGUGUCUAUUCUGAGUGGUAAAGCUCAUUUGAAAAAGAACUCAUACACUGAAAUACAAAAUUAAAAAUUUUAAUUAUUAAAUUCUUAAAUACUGAAUUAGUCAUAAUCAAAUCAAUAGGGCAAAUGUUAUAAUCUUAAAAGUCAAGGUAAAAAAAUUUCCUAAAAAGAGGAAAGUAAGUUUUGAUUUUUUAAAAUGAAUAAUAUCUGUGUAGUGCCCAAAGUU